rnacentral:rRNA from 2 species
CUUGCUCCCGGAUGUUAGCGGCGGACGGGUGAGUAACACGUGGGUAACCUGCCUGUAAGACUGGGAUAACUCCGGGAAACCGGAGCUAAUACCGGAUAGUUCCUUGAACCGCAUGGUUCAAGGAUGAAAGACGGUUUCGGCUGUCACUUACAGAUGGACCCGCGGCGCAUUAGCUAGUUGGUGAGGUAACGGCUCACCAAGGCGACGAUGCGUAGCCGACCUGAGAGGGUGAUCGGCCACACUGGGACUGAGACACGGCCCAGACUCCUACGGGAGGCAGCAGUAGGGAAUCUUCCGCAAUGGACGAAAGUCUGACGGAGCAACGCCGCGUGAGUGAUGAAGGUUUUCGGAUCGUAAAGCUCUGUUGUUAGGGAAGAACAAGUGCAAGAGUAACUGCUUGCACCUUGACGGUACCUAACCAGAAAGCCACGGCUAACUACGUGCCAGCAGCCGCGGUAAUACGUAGGUGGCAAGCGUUGUCCGGAAUUAUUGGGCGUAAAGGGCUCGCAGGCGGUUUCUUAAGUCUGAUGUGAAAGCCCCCGGCUCAACCGGGGAGGGUCAUUGGAAACUGGGAAACUUGAGUGCAGAAGAGGAGAGUGGAAUUCCACGUGUAGCGGUGAA